AUUCUCAAGAGUUGAGAAUUUGAGCCAUGUAUCAUUGGUGAUUAAUUUCUAAAUGCUCCUGAUCAAUGGAUCAUCACGAGGACGGUGAUCGAUACAAUCAGUGCACAGAUCACUUUCCUUCUGGAUGGACGCCACAGUGUAGGGACACUGAAGUGAUAGUACAGGUGCUUGUUAGAGAACAAGGGUACUGAGCGUGACCAAGACAAGAAGUCACUUGGAUGUCUAUCCACUCGUCAGUGACUUGCUUGAUGUUGCAGUAGUGUGACUGGUCCUUUGACCUGCGGUGCUUCGGCUUCUCACAGUGAGGUUAUUGUAGUUUGACUGCACACAUACAUGGUCUCUAGCCAUAUGGGUCCAUGCAGUGUAGAUUGGCUGCAGUAGGUUCACUGUAGGAGUAGGGUAUGCA
rnacentral:lncRNA from 1 species